AAAUGCUAUAAAUAAUAUCUUGCUUGUUAAUUAAUGAGUACACAUCUUUAAAUAAAAAAGGGUGAGAUCAAAUAUUAACUGUUGAUUCCCCUUUAGAUAUUUACAAUUUAGCAGUACAUCGAUAUGAUUCUCUAUUCCUGAAGUUAUGGUUCUGACAGCUUCCUUCCCUCAUCUUAUUUUUGAAUUUCCUCUUUGCCUCUUCCAGUGACAACAGUGGUCUAGAAAUGUUCAAGAUCAACUCAGCCAUAAUUAAUACCUCUAAAUCCAUCAUGCCAAUCCCUCAUUUCCAAAACACAGAUUCAUUUACUUGAGUGCACAAACUCAUUCCCAAAUGAGUACUGUGCCAAGGAAAUUCCAUCUCUCAACCCACACCAUGGAAGCUCUUUAAAUUAAGACAAAAAGAGGUCCACUAACAACUUGACCCUUCCUGGACAGAGAACCAGUUCCCUCCUCACUGAAGGAGUCACCAAGACUUUGAGGUUUAAAGGCAUCUCAGACUUUCCACUAUUAUGGCUUUGGUUUACCAGAAAGAUGUCAGCCUAGGCUCUGCAUAUAGAAAUCCCCAAUCUCCUCUUCCCAAGGCACAUAGUGACAUGAAUAGAGAGGCACAUUCUCUCUUUUCCCCAGCUUCUCUUUCUAAAAAGGGUGUCAAGUCACAGCCUUCCCCUGACAGGCUUUGUUUAUAACAGAAGUCAGAAAAAUUUACAGCCUGGCUCCUCCCUGGCCCUGAGACUGGAAUGCUUCAUUGGUUCGGUAAGCAAGAGCAAGAUAAAUCUCUUUCUUCCAGUACCAUCGUUGCUAGGUAAUUCACAGUGAAGGAAAUAAUUUUGUUCAAACUAAAGGAUAAUCAAGCAUCAAAGUAACAGAGCCGAAGAUGCACUUGUACAAAGCAACACUUUCAGUUCUGAAGAGUAGAGAUUUUCUUAGCAAGAGGAAAUCUCUUCCAAAUUAGGGGAGAAGUGAAAGGUAAUUCAGAGAAGGUUUGUUUAGAACAAUGGGAAAUGCUCACAAAACUAUGUUAAGUGAAAGAAAAAUGUAAUGUGUGAUAUGGUUACAACUAUGUAGGGAUGCAUAUUAUACAAUAAGGACAAAAAUAAUAGAAGUUAUGUAUAAGGUUGAUGUUAUAAUUCUCUUCCUGUGAAGUUUCCAAAAUAUUGUUGCUUUUAGAUUGGAAAAGAGAGAAAAAGAAGAUUUUUCUUUUUUAAAGUGUGAAAUAGUUUCAUCCUAAUGAACAGAGGAAUAAGCUUGGUGUUAACAGAUGUUAUUUGCACGUACACUUGUGACAGACAUGACUAAGAGCUAAUGUGAAAUUGCAACUCAACAAUGGUCGAUGGCACAGGCUUUCCAAUACCUAAGAAACCGUCCAGCGUCGCGCCGGCACUUCUCAAAAUGACGUCUGUGGAUGAAAUUCUACAGGCAUAUGGGGACACAAUCUGCUGACCUCUCGUUGUCAGAUUUUAAAGUGUCCUAGGGGCGACUGGGUGGCACAGCGGUUAAGCGUCUGCCUUCGGC